rnacentral:rRNA from 1 species
UACGUAGGGGGCAAGCGUUAUCCGGAUUUACUGGGUGUAAAGGGGGCGCAGACGGCAGCGCAAGCCAGGAGUGAAAGCCCGGGGCCCAACCCCGGGACUGCAUUGGAAACUGGCGGGCUGGAGUGCCGGAGAGGUAAGCGGAAUUCCUAGUGUAGCGGUGAAAUGCGUAGAUAUUAGGAGGAACACCAGUGGCGAAGGCGGCUUACUGGACGGCAACUGACGCUGAGGCUCGAAAGCGUGGGGAGCAAACAGG